rnacentral:lncRNA from 1 species
UGGCGUUAAUAUUGAGUCACUGAUAAGGUCUUUGCAUCGGAACUAAACACAUUUAUUCUAAAAACAGCUGUUGGCAUGACACGGGUUAUGUUCUUCUCAUAUAUGUUAUGAUGGUAUGAUACUAAACCCCUAACGGGAAGGAUUGUGCCUGAUGUUCAUAUGAUGAAAUCAUAAUCUUUCAGUCAGUUUAAUUGAAGUCUGGAGCUGGCAUGUCAGUUAACUGCUAGUAGUCUGUUGUUAUUUAUGUAUUAUUGUCAUUUUGUUUAUUUUCUUUGGUUACAUCUUCUGACAUCAGACUCGGACUUCUCUUGAACUGAAUUUUAAUGUGCGUAUUGUUAUGCGUUUACUUUUCUACAUUGGUUAGAGGUAUAGU